CAGCCGCCACGGUAAUACGAAGGGGGCUAGCGUUGUUCGGAAUAACUGGGCGUAAAGGGCGCGUAGGCGGAUCUUUAAGUCAGGGGUGAAAUCCCAAGGCUCAACCUUGGAACUGCCUUUGAUACUGGAGAUCUUGAGUCCGGGAGAGGUGAGUGGAACUGCGAGUGUAGAGGUGAAAUUCGUAGAUAUUCGCAAGAACACCAAUGGCGAAGGCGGCUCACUGGCCCGGUACUGACGCUGAGGCGCGAAAGCGUGGGGAGCAAACAGGAUUAGAUACCCCUGUAGUCCCUGUCUCUUAUAC
rnacentral:rRNA from 1 species